GCUUACGGCCAUACCAACCUGGCUAUGCCCGAUCUCGUCUGAUCUCGGAAGCUAAGCAGGUUUGGGCCUGGUUAGUACUUGGAUGGGAAACCGCCUGGGAAUACCAGGUGCUGUAAGCU
ensembl:rRNA 5S_rRNA 5S ribosomal RNA